rnacentral:rRNA from 1 species
AUUGAACGCUGGCGGCAUGCCUUACACAUGCAAGUCGAACGGCAGCACGGGAGCAAUCCUGGUGGCGAGUGGCGAACGGGUGAGUAAAGUAUCGGAACGUGCCCAGUCGGGGGGGAUAACGUAGCGAAAGUUACGCUAAUACCGCAUACGAUCUAUGGAUGAAAGCGGGGGAUCGCAAGACCUCGCGCGAUUGGAGCGGCCGAUAUCAGAUUAGGUAGUUGGUGGGGUAAAGGCUCAACAAGCCGACGAUCUGGAGCUGGUCUGAGAGGACGACCAGCCAAACUGGGAGUGAGACACGGCCCAGACUCCUACGGGAGGCAGCAGUGGGGAAUUUUGGACAAUGGGCGCAAGCCUGAUCCAGCCAUGCCGCGUGCAGGAUGAAGGCCUUCGGGUUGUAAACUGCUUUUGUACGGAACGAAAAGACUCUUUCUAAUAAAGAGGGUCCAUGACGGUACCGUAAGAAUAAGCACCGGCUAACUACGUGCCAGCAGCCGCCGUAACAC